AUGGUAUUUGUAGAUAUUUGUCCCUAUGAAGAUAAUUUAACCCCUCUGCACCCUAGUGUCCUCAUCUGUAAAACAGGAAAAAUAGUAGUUUGUAUUUCCCCAAUUGCUAUGGCCAUUGAAGCACUUAGCUCAAUAAAUGCUCAGUCCAUGUUCUUUGUUCUUAUUGUCACCGUUAUUGUCAUUGUCUUUGUAGUCAGUCACUGCCCAGCAAAGUUGAGUCAGAGACGCCAGGAUGAACUGAUGUUGACUGUACUCAUCCUGUUAAAGGGUCAGGAUCACAGAUGUAACAUGAAGAAUGCAAGAGGAGACCCAGUGCCUAAGAGCUGGCAUCCAGAAAUUUCCAUUACUACAACAUGCUUUUCUGUUUUUAUUGGUUCAGGAUUACCUAUUUGCAUGACAAGCAACAUAAUUCAGCCAGAAAAAUCUGUUGUGUGUAGGGUAUGUAUAAUGUAUGUUUAUUAC
rnacentral:lncRNA from 1 species